CCCUCAGUUAGACAUUUUAACAAACACCUAGUGCUCUCAACUGAGUCCCUCAUUCCCAGAGGAAUGUACAAACAAAUAAAUGAAAAUGGGGGAAAACAAAAAAAUUCUAGACCUAGUUGUUCUACACCUCCCUCGACCAAAAUCGGAACAACCCAAUUCAAAUUAUAGAAAUCAAAGACCAAAACAAAAGAAACCAGAAUGCUGAAACAGUAUUAGAAUGCAACCAAAAAAAUAAAAAAAACAAGUAAAGGACGAGGGUGCCGCUGCAGCAUGGCCAUCUGCACCAAGACGAGGAGGAGGAGGAGGGCGGCCACUCCCCACGGCGAGCUUCCCUCCGGCUGGCGGUGGUGGGUACGGCGGCGGCGGUCGUAGGGAGAGUACCCGAAGAAACUGAUGGGGUCCUCUAUUGAAGACAGCCACCGAACGAGGAGGAUCAGCACCACCGGGCACCGACGUGGCCAGGAGGACCCAAUUGGUCUACUCCUCGGCGGCUUCCUCAACGGACUCGUAGUUGGAGAACUACUGGAUGCCCAGAAAGAUUGAGACCAGGACGAGAAUUAGAGGAUGAAUCAACGUAAAAUACGUGCUAUGCAAAUCUUAUUGGAUUAACUAGCGAGAUUGACCGUAGAAUAAUUUUUUUCGAAUUGGGUUUUAUUUAAUAUAUUAUUUUAAAAUAAUAAUAAAAUAACAAAAAACUCCAGAUGUCAUGAAAUGGAAUGGAAUAUCAUUUUAAUAUUUUAUUUGUAUUCUAAGAAUAGGGAUUCCUGGAUACUGAUUUUUAGUGGGAAUAGGGAUUCCUUUCUAAGGUGGGGAUACUGAUUCUGACAUAAACUUGGAGUCACCCCCAACUCCUCCCCGACUCUCCACGUUACUCCCCUCACUCUCCCUCCCUCUCUCUCUACUCUCUCUGCACUUUCUCCCAUCCCUUUCUCCUCCCUUUUCUGCUUCUCUUCGCGGAGACGAGCUUCUGGGAAAUCUGGUUGGUAGCGGUGCAUUUCGGGCGCAGUGAGAAAUUAGGGCUUUUAUUCGUUGUUUUGAGCUCUAUUUGUGCUGUAAAAGUCGGUCAGUUUGAGCGAUUCGGCAACUGAUUUGUAGGGUUUUGGGACUCGAAAGUGUUGGGGCUUUGUUCCAAGAAUGUUCUCCCAGCGGUGGUUUCUUCAGUUCAGUGGCGUCUGGGUGCUGCAGGUCGUGCGUGCUCAUUUUCAGCUACAGGAUUGAACCUCGGUUUGUUUCUAAUAUUAGCAGUUACCUUUGUUGCUGACAUUAAGCUACAGGUGUCAGGUGUGUCUACUACAGUCUAUCUGUUUAUAGAGUGUUGUUUUUUAAACUUCUUUCAGGUCUUAUAAUCUAGAAGUUGUUUUAAUGAGUGGAUCAUUAACUCAGUAGCUUUGCUGAAUUUACCCUUCAGCCUUUUAAAAAUUUUCAAACCAAAGAAAUUAAAAAUUAUUCAUCAUCAUCCUUUUCUAAGUUACUUGAGAUUUACCUUGCAUGGAUUAUUCAUUAUGCUCUCCUACUUAAAGAAAAUUUGCAUUCAUGCAUGUGAAGAGCACUGUGAAAGGUCUUCAUUGUCUGAACUGGAGAUGAUUUUGCUGUGGUGAAUGGGGGAAUUGGGAAGAUAACUGAAAAAUGGCUAAGCCAAUUGUAUUUUCUUUUUAUAUUAAAUAGCAUUAAGGCAUUAAGAAUGAAGUUUUGUUCAAAUCUUACUGGAAAAGUGGGCGAAAGUUCAUGCUUGUUAGAGGACUGUUGAGCCUCUGCUGCCACAAUAAUUAACAGUCUCAGGAUAGACAAAGAAAACCUUUCUGUUUUGUCUUUUUGUCACCUUGUUUUUUUUUUCCUCUUCUAUUUUAGAUGCUCAAAUAUAAGCACCAUCAAGCUAUCUAAUUUGUCAGCAAAUAAGUUUCCACUUGAACUCUUCCAGUUUGAAUACUCUCUUGAAAGUUGAAAACAAUAAUGUCAAUCAGCACGUGGAGGAGAGCUGAACUGAAAACAACAAUCAUGUUAAAAGAUCACCCAUUACAAGAGGAAAAUCUUACUAACAUCAAUUGCCUAUGUGAAGCAACAGAAUCCAGCCAGUAUAGCUGUCAAAAUUUGGCAGAAAGUGCCAUAAACAUCAACUAAUGUGCUUAUUUUGUGACAUAAAACAGCACAAGGCACAAAUAUGAUUAUUAAAUACUAAACCAAGAGCAGAGUUUUUUUUAUAGGUAUGUAAUGCCAAUAAGUAUUCCCAAUACAGACCACAAACAGUAUAGCAUGCAGUGUAUACUUCUAUGUGAUAUGAAUUUUUAAUUUUAGUUCCCAGUUCAUGAGCAAACUUCAAUUUUUAUUAUUAUUAUUAUUAUUAUUAUUAUUAUUAUUAAAGUUCUCAUGCAUCCAUAGGGCCUGACCCAGGCAGGGGCAGGCUCUUAAACCACCCUUAAACCCCCAACUCAAUGUAUGUAAUAUCAAUUUUUACUUUGAAUUUUCAUUUCUAAGCAAUUAAACUGAAAAUACGAGUCAUGGUUUACUUUCAGGCUUCAUACACACAGCUCAUGGCAAAAGCGCAAGCUUGGUCUGCUAUUCUAUUUGAAUAUAGUAGUAAAUUAACAUUCUCAAAAUUUUUGCAACUUUAUCAAGUGCCUGCUUUCUUAUUUGGUACUCAGUUUUAUAUGCAAUAUUGCAGUAAUACAACUUAAUUAAUGUGGAUCAUGUAACUAGUCAUGGGCUAGAAUAAAAUGUUGUCUUUAGUCUUGAAAACAUGGUUUGUAUUUUCUUCUUUCUAGGUAGCGCGCUUGGUUUUCGACCUUUCGCCUGCUCCGAGUUCUUGGGCGCACGCGCAGUUGAGCCUCCUGCUGAUUUUUUUUUCAUUUUACUUUCAUUUGCCUCCCUCUGUGGUUGGUUCGGGUUUUGUGGCCUGGGGCGUUCUGGGUCCAAGUCGCUCACCGUCUGGCGUCUGUCAAUUGGAUUUAAGUUUAGGAUCCUCAUUACUUCUAGUAAUGUCAGUAGCUAUUGCAUAUGCAAAUGUAUUGUUGACAAUAACUUUAUUUCUAUCCUAUAUUUCUCUUGUAUAAUGAAUUGAGAUCUUAUUAUUAUUUUCAGGUGCCUGUCAUUUUUCAAGGGAUGUCUCUUCAUGAGUUUUUUCUUCAAUAAAUUCCUCUUCAGGAGGUUUUAUAGUAGGAAUUUCAUUUUUAGGAGAAAUGAGUUUGUGUAUGUUGAAUGAAUUAUUCACCUCUGUAACCUCUUUUGGAGUGUUUACAAAUUUCAAUCUUCUCAUUCUAGGAGUUUUAUCUUUUGCAUCCACAGACCUUCCACGCUUAACUUGUGGUUUAGGUUCAUUAGCCGGCUGUUGUCCUUUAGGGACAUCAAUACAUGCUAGAAUAUUUGCAACAGGUCUAUGAGAUUUUAGUAUGAUCUUGGUAUCUGCAAAAGAAUCUGGUAAUUGAUUUGCAAUCCCUUGCAAAUGGAUAAUCUUCUGAAC